UACGGAGGGUGCGAGCGUUGUCCGGAAUCACUGGGCGUAAAGGGCGCGUAGGCGGCGCGGAUAGUCGGCGGUGAAAGCCCGGAGCUCAACUCCGGGUCGGCCGUCGAUACUCUUAAGCUCGAGCACUGUAGAGGCAGGUGGAAUUCCGGGUGUAGCGGUGGAAUGCGUAGAGAUCCGGAAGAACACCGGUGGCGAAGGCGGCCUGCUGGGCAGUAGCUGACGCUGAGGCGCGACAGCGUGGGGAGCAAACAGG
rnacentral:rRNA from 1 species